AUCAUUUCUAUAGUUUGUGACUAGAGAAGUUUCUCUGAACGUGUAGAGUACCCGAAACCACGAGGAAGAGGCGCAGUGUUCUCUCCUGAGCGUGAAGCUGGUUUUUGAU
rnacentral:snoRNA from 1 species